rnacentral:rRNA from 1 species
UGGAUACUAGGUGUGGGAGGUAUCGACCCCUACCGUGCCGGAGUUAACGCAAUAAGUAUCCCGCCUGGGGAGUACGGUCGCAAGACUGAAACUCAAAGGAAUUGACGGGGACCCGCACAAGCGGUGGAGUAUGUGGUUUAAUUCGAAGCAACGCGAAGAACCUUACCAGGCCUUGACAUUGACUGAAGCAUGCAGAGAUGUAUGUGUCUCUUCGGAGACAGGAAAACAGGUGGUGCAUGGCUGUCGUCAG